GGUGUGCGUGUGGCCCAUGGCAACAAAAGUUUGCUUGGGCCAAAGGCCCAAGUCUUCAAGGACAAGGAUAGCUCCAACCCGGUCUGGAUCCAUGGACGUGUUACGCAAAGACUAGGUCACGAUCAUGUGGAGGUUGUUGGAAGUCAGUUCCAAUUCUGUUAUGGUGGUUUUGGAAGUUAGUUGGUUGAAACGGUUAGGAAUUUUGUUAUGUGAUGAUGCAUUGCCGUUAAAGUUUAGUCUGGAUAGCAAUUCUGUUGUGCUAAUUUGUGUUAGUGGAUAUUGAAUGGAUGAUAUCAAUGAGUUGUUCCCCUGUUAAGUAAAUUUCCCGUUUGGUAUCAACUUCGAAUUUGUUCUGCCAAAGGUUUAUGCAAAGGGGCCCUGUUGUAUAUGGUUGCUAAUGUUUGUUUGUGACUUUUAGAUGCACUACUGUUGGGUGCAAUGUAUAAGGUAGGAUGGACAAGACUACACAAAGUUCAUGAAUCAAAAUUACCACAUGAAGAAAGUUGAAAUCUUGGAUGCUUUGGAGAUCAUGCUUGAUGGAGGAAAUUAGGCUAUGAAGCUUGGAGUUUCGGAUAUGGAUUGCUUGGAAAUGCUAUGAAAUUUUGUUGUAAAUUUGACAUGAACCUUGUGAAUUGAAAAAAUGGAUAUAUGUAAUGAUUGUAAUUUUGGAAUGCAUAUUGUAUUAGCAUGUAAUAGGAUUGAUGGUGUUAAUAUAAUUGGAACGUGGUUUGAAAUUGUGUAUGAAUGUUAUGGUUCAAUGUUGUAAUGAUAAGUUGAAUUUGGUUUGAAUAA